rnacentral:rRNA from 1 species
GACGAACGCUGGCGGCGUGCUUAACACAUGCAAGUCGAGCGGAGCGGCGAACGGGUGAGUAACGCGUGAGUAACUGCCCCCCUCUCUGGGAUAACAGUUGGAAACGGCUGCUAAUACCGGAUAGUGGGGGAUGAAUCGCGUCCUAUCAGCUUGUUGGUGGGGUAGUGGCCCACCAAGGGGACGACUGGUAGCCGGCCUGAGAGGGCGACCGGCAACAUUGGGCUAAGAUACGGCCCAGACUGCAACAGGAGGCAGUGGUGGGAAAUAUUGCACAGUCGGGGAAACCCUGGUGCAGAAACGCCGCGUGCGGGAUGACGGCCUUCGGGUUAUAAACCGCUUUUAGCCAUGACGCGGUAGUGGCAGAAGAAGCACCGGCUAACUACGUGCCAGCAGCCGCGGUAAUUC